CUGUAGCUCAGCUGGAUAGAGCAACGGCCUUCUAAGCCGUGGGUCGGGGGUUCGAGUCCCUCCAG
rnacentral:tRNA from 1 species